rnacentral:lncRNA from 1 species
UGCAGUGGCAGUUUGUCCGGAAUUUAUUCCUUCCAGUGGGUUCUUGGUCUCGCUGACUUCAAGAAUGAAGCAGAGGACCUUGCAGUGAGUGUUACAGCUCUUAAAGAUGGGCUACUCCUGAGUAUAGCUGGAGUUCAACCGCAAUCCGUGUUUUACUUUACAAUGAAAGGAGGCAACCUGUCCUGAGCAAGACCUGAGUAUUUUUAUUCAUUGGUCAAACUGUUCAUAGGGAACUUCCCAAAAGGCCAUAGGACUUGACCUGAAGGAGACCUGUGUAUGUAUGCUGCAACAGAGGUCUGUGGUUUGGGUUUCUUGAACACUUUGUUGUUGAAACUAAUUUGUGCACUUUGGACCUGCUUGGGCCCAAUCCCAAAUGUUUAAUUUUCAUCUCAUAAGCCUAUUGGAGAAACUCUGUGAGCCAGUAUAGAACACACGUCUCAGAGAUAGCUCACUCGUGAGAUGAUCAAGCUGAGCUAUUUAGGUACCAGCUCCUGUAAGACACUGGUUGAGGGCUCUUCCUAUGGGAUGUUAAUUUCCAGGUACUUGUAGCCUGCUGCACAAGUGAACAAAGAAGGCUUCAAUAUGCGGAGAAAGCUCUCAAGCAAAGAAAUACUGUUUCUCACAGUCAGAAGUUGGUGUAACUGAGAAUCAGACAUGUUAAUUAAUAUGUUAUGUAAUAUUGGAUAUUAGGGAUAAUCUUAUGGAUUAUCCCAGUUCCAAUGACAAAUAACACAAAAGGGCUUGCAAGAAAAUAUUUCAUAGCAGCCAUUCUGCUCACCUAAUUACAAUCAUUGUGAUCAAUUUCUUAAGUAUUUUCUGAGAGUCAUUAAUGAGUUUACAGGCAUACAUCCAUUCAUAUGCAUUUUAUAACUCUAUUUUCAAUCAUUUUAGUUUUGCCAAUCUAAAAGGAAAAAAUAGUUUUCUUUCUAUAUUUUUAUUUUUAUUUUUUAUUUUUAGAAACAGAGACUUGCUCUCUCACCUAGAAAAGAGUGCAGUGUUGCAAUCAUAGCUCACGUAACCUCGGACUCCUGAGCUCAAGGGAUUUUCCUGCCUGGCCUCCCCAGUAGCUAUGACUACAGGCACAUGCCAUCACACACAGCUAAUUUUUAAAUUUUUUGUAGAGACAGGUCUUCCUAUAUUGCCUAGGCUGGUCUCAAACUCCUAAUCUCAAGCACCUUGGCCUCUCAAAACUCUGGAAUCACAGGCAUAAACCACCAUGCCCACUCAGUAGUGUCUCCAUUUUUAUUUUUCAUUUAUCUUCUUUGAGUGAGAUAAACCAUCUUUCCAGAUAUUUAUGAGCUACUUUAAUUUACCUCUCUGUGAAUUAUUGUCAUAUUCUCUGUGUAUUUUCUACUUUUUCCUGGUCUUUUUACAAAUUGUUGAAUGUUUUCUAUAUUAAAUUAUCCUGUUAUUAUGUAAUUACCAAUUUUUCCUUUAUGCAAGUGUUUUGCCAUAUUGAAUGCUUGAUUUAUACAUUGUUCAAUUUAUUGAUCUUUUCUUUAUAUAACAUUGAAGAAUUUCCUCAUUUUGUGACUCAAAAAAAGUUUCCAUGUUUUCUUCUAUUACUUUCUUGUUCAUAUUUCUUAUAUAAAUAUUUGAAAUAUUUAUUUUUGCAUAAAGUAUGCUAUCAAACUAUCCUAAUACCAUUUAUUAAAAUUCAUAUUCUUCCAUAAAUUUGAAAUAUAUUUUUUACCAUAUUUUAAGUUCCUGCAUGUAGUUCUCAUCUAUUUUUAGAUUCAACAGUGUACUUUGAGAGCCU